GACGAACGCUGGCGGCGUGCUUAACACAUGCAAGUCGAACGGGCCCGCCCCUGUUUUUGGGGGUGGGUUGAGUGGCGAACGGGUGAGUAUCACGUGAGUAACCUGCCCCCUGCUCCUGGAUAACUGCUUGAAAGGGCGGCUAAUACGGGGUGUGCCGGCUGGUCCGCAUGGGCCUGGUCGGGAUAGUUUCAUCUUCGGGUGUUUCGGCGGGGGAUGGGCUCGCGGCCUAUCAGCUUGUUGGUGGGGUGAUGGCCCACCAAGGCGGUGACGGGUAGCCGGCCUGAGAGGGUGGGCGGCCACACUGGGACGGAGACACGGCCCAGACUGCUGCGGGAGGCAGCAGUGGGGGGUAUUGCACAAUGGGCGGAAGCCUGAUGCAGCGACGACGCGUGAGGGAUGGAGGCCUUCGGGUGGUGAACCUCUUUCUCCGGUGGUGAAGGCCCUGUCCGUUGCGGCGGGGUUGACGGUAGCCGGGGAUGAAGCGCCGGCUAACUACGUG
rnacentral:rRNA from 1 species